rnacentral:tRNA from 1 species
GCCGCGGUAGCUCAAUUGGUUAGAGCAUCGCACAUGUAAUGUGAAUACGUGGGUUCGAAUCUCACCUGUGGCC